UAAUACGUAAGGGGCAAGCGUUGUUCGGAAUCAUUGGGCGUAAAGGGCGUGUAGGCGGUUAUACAAGCUUGAUGUUAAAUCUCCCGGCUUACCCGGGAAAAUGCGUUGAGAACUGUAUGACUUGAGUUCUUGGGGGGAAGCUGGAAUUCCUGGUGUAGGGGUGAAAUCUGUAGAUAUCAGGAAGAACACCGAUGGCGAAGGCAAGCUUCUAUCAAGUAACUGACGCUGAGGCGCGAAAGCGUGGGGAGCAAACAGGAUUAGAUACCCUGGUAGUCCACGCUGUAAACGAUGUGCACUAGGUGUAGGUAACGUUGGUUAUCUGUACCGUAGCGAACGCGUUAAGUGCACCGCCUGGGGAGUAUGCUCGCAAGGGUG
rnacentral:rRNA from 1 species